rnacentral:rRNA from 1 species
UACGUAGGGUGCGAGCGUUGUCCGGAAUUAUUGGGCGUAAAGAGCUCGUAGGUGGUUUGUCGCGUCGUCUGUGAAAUUCCGGGGCUUAACCUCGGGCGUGCAGGCGAUACGGGCAAUACUUGAGUGCUGUAGGGGAGACUGGAAUUCCUAGUGUAGCGGUGAAAUGCGUAGAUAUUAGGAGGAACACCAGUAGCGAAGGCGGCUCUCUGGACUGUAACUGACGCUGAGGCACGAAAGCGUGGGGAGCAAACAGGAUUAGAUACCCGGGUAGU